rfam:Triticum aestivum genome assembly, contig: Triticum_aestivum_CS42_TGACv1_scaffold_225173_3B
UUACUACUCCCUCCGUCCGGAAUUACUUGUCAUAAAAACGGAUAAAAAUGAAUUUAUCUAUAACUAAAAUACAUCUAGAUACAUCCAUUUCUUGGACGAGUAAUUCCGAAGGGAGGGAGCAGUAU